rnacentral:rRNA from 1 species
GUAGGUGGCAAGCGUUGUCCGGGAAUUAUUGGGGCGUAAAGCGCGCGCAGGCGGUUCUUUAAGUCUGAUGUGAAAGCCCACGGGCUCAACCGUGGAGGGUCAUUGGAAACUGGAGAACUUGAGUACAGAAGAGGAAAGCGGAAUUCCACGUGUAGCGGUGAAAUGCGUAGAGAUGUGGAGGAACACCAGUGGCGAAGGCGGCUUUCUGGUCUGUAACUGACGCUGAGGCGCGAAAGCGAGGGGAGCAAACAGGAUUAGAUACCCUGGUAGUCCACGCCGUAAACGAUGAGUGCUAAGUGUUAGGGGGUUUCCGCCCCUUAGUGCUGCAGCUAACGCAUUAAGCACUCCGCCUGGGGAGUACGGCCGCAAAGGCUGA